ACAUAUAUACCUGCCAAUAAUUAUGUGAGUAGUAUACAUAUAAAUGUGUACUGUUAGGUAUUUUUCAGUUCGAUUGCGUUUUUAAUUUGGCUAUGUUGAGUUACGGGGCUUUAGUAGGAACUGUGGCCAUCCUUGCCAUUGCUGCUGAUGGUUUUAUUUUAGGCAAUCGGCCCCACAUUUUUCAUAAGGACCGGAAGAAGCAAAAUACUGCUGAAGAUACUCUUAUCUUAUCUCACGUACUAUUUCGUCAUGGAAACAGAACUCCCGAACUUUCCGAAUUAUAUCCAUUGGAUCCCUACUAUAAUUACACCUAUUAUCCAUUAAAACAUGGACAGCUAACUGAUGCAGGAAAGAAAAGAGAGUUCUCUAUAGGCACAGCUCUUAGGGAAAGAUAUAAUAAUUUUCUAGGAGAUUAUUAUGUUCCGGACUUAGUGGAUGCUAGAAGCACGGAUAGAAACCGCACGAAAAUGUCUUUGUUGCUAGUUUUAGCCAGUUUGUUUCCGCCAAGAUAUUCAGAAAUAUGGAACGCGAAGCUAAACUGGCAACCCAUACCAUACAAUUAUCUUCCAGAUACAGACGAUCCAAUCAUAUAUGGAAUCAACUGCCCAAAUUAUUUGAGCCUGUACGAUGAACUUCAGACGUCGCCGAAGGUUUUAGCUGAAUAUGAAAAAUAUGCCGACAACUUCACUUACAUUUCCGAGAAUAGUGGCCUGAAUGUAACUGGGUAUAGUCAAGUUUACGAUUUGUAUUUUGGACUCUCCACAGAAGAAGAAUAUGGCCUAAGAUUGCCAGACUGGACAGCCAAAGUAUGGCCGGAUUUUAUCAAUGAAAUUUCUUAUAAGCAGUAUUCCAUUUAUACUAGGACUACGCAACUUCGAAAAAUGGCAGCAGGUUAUCUGAUUCAGAAAAUGAUUAUCGAUACAGAGAAUAGAAUAAGCGGAUCCAAUAACGACACAAAGAUCUAUUUGUACUCGGCCCAUGAAAAUAAUCUUGGGCAGUUUCUAAUGACAUUAGAUUUGUUUGAAUAUCCGCAUAUUCCAACGUAUGGUUCAUAUAUUCUGGUAGAGGCGCACUACAUAAAUAGCACAUACGGUUUUAAGAUCUACUAUCAAAAUUAUAAUGGUACAACAUCACCUAAGCUACUCAAACUGUCAGCGUGUGACGAAUUUUGUCCACUAAACGAGUUUAAAAGUUUAGUUGAGGAAUACAUGCCUGAAGAUGGAACAUGUGGCAAUUAAGUGUGAAUGGAAAGUUGGAAAAUUUCAGCUCCCGUUUUGCAAAUUGGAUAAACCUUAUUGAGGAUAAGUAGCAAAUAUUCGUACUUGAAUUGCACCUAAACGAAUUACAAAUAUUCCGUUACCUAUUAAUUAGAGAUAGAUAUUUUAAGACAUUGCAAAAUGAGCCUCAGAUAUCAACUUCCCUAUAUCGACAUUAGAUAUUCAAGGGUGAAAAAUAAAUAUCGACCAAAACAAGCUCUUUGUUUAUGAAACGUUGAAGCUGAAUUAUUUUCCAUAUUCCAAAAUGUACGGUUUUCGGUGAUAAGUGUCGAGAAAUACAUUUUACGCGCUCACGAAAUAACAUAUUUCUGGAAGUUGUUUUGGAACGGCACACGAAAUAUGUUAUGCAAAUUGGUUUACUGAAAGAUUUGGGAGCAAACGUUUCAAAGGUUUUACAGUAUUAUAAAAGAGAUGAAAGUCAUAUGCCAGUUUUGUUAAAUUCAUUUAAAAGUUUAUUGAAGGAAAUGUCUUGAUUUAGGGAUUUAGAAAUAAAACGUGUCCUUAUUUAAAGUUAAAUUUGUUUUGGUGGAUAUUUGGAAAGCCGGUGCUGACAGCUUUUUUAAUAUGAUGUUUUAUUAUGAUAUUUCAUUUAUUGUACUUUUAUUCUGUCAGCUUGGAAAUGUAAUAUAAAUAAAAUAACAAAUAAAUUGAUGAGUUUGUAGAAGUA
rnacentral:misc_RNA from 1 species